GUCUUUUUGAAUUAAAUAUAAAGUCUAACCUGCCCACUGAAAUUUUUUAAAUGGCCGCAGUAUCCUAACUGUGCAAAGGUAGCAUAAUCAUUAGUCUUUUAAUUGAAGGCUGGAAUGAAUGGUUGGACGAAAUAUUAACUGUUUCAUUUAAAUUUUAUAUAAAAUUUUAUUUUUUAGUUAAAAAGCUAAAAUUUAUUUAAAAGACGAGAAGACCCUAUAAAUCUUUAUAUUUUAUUUAUUUUAAUUAUUUAAGAUUAUUUUUAUUGUAAUAAAUUAAAAUAUUUUAUUGGGGUGAUAUUAAAAUUUAAAAAACUUUUAAUUUUAAAUUCAUUAAUUUAUGAUUAUUUGAUCCGUUAAUAACGAUUAAAAAUUUAAGUUACUUUAGGGAUAACAGCGUAAUUUUUUUGGAGAGUUCAUAUCGAUAAAAAAGAUUGCGACCUCGAUGUUGGAUUAAGAUAUAAUUUUGGGUGUAGCUGUUCAAAUUUUAAGUCUGUUCGACUUUUAAAUUCUU
rnacentral:rRNA from 1 species